CUGGCACCCUGAUCUCAAACUUCCAGCCUCUAGAGCUGUGGGAAAAUAAAUUUCUGUUGUUUAAGUCACCUAGGCUGUAGUAUUUUGUUAAGGCAACCUAAGCAGAUUAAAUCACACGCUCUCUCCUCCUUGAGCGAGAAUCCCUGGCCAAGGUAAAAGGCCCUUGGUUCCUCCAUUCUGUUUGAGAAGCUCAUCACCAUUUAACUUGGCUUGCCCUUGUCACAGACAUUACAUUGUUGGGUAGCACUCCAUGCUUUACCCUGACUCUCCCAUUUAAUGUUUGUAAGCUUGGCAACUGUUAUCCCCAUUUUAUGCAUGAGGAACGUGAAACUCAGAAGACGAGAAGCUUGCCCAGGGGAAGACCAAUCUAAGAGGUGGAGCUGGAACUACAGCACAGAUCCGAGAAAGUUCCUUACGAUCAUCUGAUAAGCACCUGCCAGGAAGCCUAAUCUUUGCUUGGUACUAUGCUAAGUGCUAGAGUUAUAGCAGUGAACAAGCUCCCUGGGCAAAUAAGACAAUAAGUAAGAUCAUGGGCUGGGACAACAGCUCCGAAGGAAGAACCAGGGUGAUGCCACAGAAGUUUUAUGAUCUCAAGAAACACCUGGUGUCUGCAGAUCCAAUGGCAUCUGCCUAUGACCUCAGGAGGAACACCUUCUUAGUGCUUCGUCCCUCUGGCUUCACUUCGGAUCCUGAACCAAAGAGCUGCUUCCUCUUCUUCUGUGACUUAUUUCUCUGCAAGAGCCUCAGUCUCCCCACCUGUAAAAUGGGCUGCUCUGAGCCCCCAAUGGACUGAGGGAAAGCCACUGUCUUCAUGUAAUUGUUGCCACAUCUCCAAACUACAGUUGCAUGGGUUUAGAAUCACCAGAAGUACAAGGAGAAAGAGAAAGAAAGAGAAUGGAGCCAUUGUUAAGACAAACUCCUUGAACUUCACACCCUCUGCAGCCCAGCACCUUAGGAAUGCGUGCACCGCGAUUAUUAAUGGCAGACUGGUUCCAACUGGGAAGAGAUUCCCAGGCAAGCUUCUUUGGGCCAGAAAGUAGAGAGAAGAGGUGUGGUAGAGUGCAAGCCGGAGGUGGGAGCACCAGCCCGAACAGGAUGGGCUGCUGGUAGGACUCCUGGUUUGUCCCUCCUCUGGUUCUCGCCACCAUGAGAACAUGUCACCUGCAUUUCUUAGGGCUUUGAAUCUGCAAAUAGAGACAUCAGUGCUCUGUUUUCCAUGACCUUCCAGCUCUCCCUCCUCAACCCCUAAAUCUGGCUACGGUGAGGGUUUCGGUCCAUGUGAGGGAGAUUACAGCCCCUAGACCCAGACCUGAAGGCCGUCACUCCACUCUAGCCACAUCCCCAUGCCUUCAUCUGGUCAGGGUAUUUUUUAAACCUGCUUUCAUCAGAGGCCACCACAUGUCCAGAGUCAUUCCUGCUCAGGUUAGAACCCAUUCUCCUCCCAAGCCCCUGGGGAGUUGCCCUCCUCCCUCCCAUUACUAGUUCCCUGCACUGGUUAAUCCUGCUUUGAGCCUCGGAGCUCCUUCCUCCUCUAGGCUUUCCGCAGUACAGUCUUCCUGGAACACUCCACUCCAGACCUUUGCCCUUGAGGCCUUGAAACGUCACAUCUGCAUUUCUUCUCAAACCAUCCCAACUCAAGGGCACUGUCUCCCUCUUCGGAGCCUGGUGGUUCUCACUCUGUUUCACGGCCACUCAUCACUCAUCACUCAUCCCAUUACGGGCACUGGGAUACCGCCAUAUCCCCAGGUUGGAUGCAGUGUGGGCAUAGCACGGGCUGUCAAUACACAUUUGUGCACUGAAGGAACAGUUAGGAUCUAACACAAAAUCUUCUUAUCAGCACGGACACCAUUCCAGAGCAUAUCAGGAAUGGAAAUCUGAAAAUUGGGCAUCAUCAACCCCCUCCUGGAAGUGUUCCCAGAACCAGUUAAAAACCACUGUAAUGGAUAAAUGCCCUGGUUUCUUGAAGAAAAAGGAGGAGGAGGAGGGGAAGGAGAAGGAGGGUGAGAAAGAGGAGGAGGGGAAGGGGGAGGAGAAGUCCAUAUUCACUCAAAAAACAGGGGCUGGUGGGACUAUAGAGAAAAAAAUACAAGAAACAUAAAAACCAAAUGCAAUGUGCCCAUAAUUUCCAUUCUGAUUCCACAAACUAUCAAAAGAUGGCUUUGAGACAGUCAAUUUGAAUAUGGAUAUUAGAUGAUGUUUAAAAAUUACUAAAAAUGUUGUUAGGUAUGAUGAUUUUAUAAUGGUUAUGCUUUUGGUGUUUUAAAAAGUCCUUGUCUGAAAAUCACAUGACUUCACUCACAUGAGGACUUUAAGAGACAAAACAGAUGAAC